GCUUGUCACAGCGUGAGCAUAGAACAGAAAACAACUCUUCACUCUCUCUCUCUCUCUCUCCAAGAAAACUCACAGAAAAUAUGGAGAACCAAGAUCCGCCAAACCCUCCGCCACGUGGGCCCUACCACCGCCGAGCACAAUCCGAAGUCCAGUACCGGAUACCCGAGGACCUGGAUCUGGUAUCGGAUCCAUUGUUCGACGGUUUUGGAGGGUCCGAGGACGAUUUGUUUUGCAGUUACAUGGACAUUGAAAAACUCGGCUCCAAACCCCCCACCGAAGACGACCUGCCCAAACCCGAUACCGCCAAUGCCAAUGUCCCUUCCAGGCCACGCCAUCGUUACAGCAAUUCAGUUGAUGGGUCCACUUCUUCUUCCUCAAUUAUGGAGUCUAUUGACGCUAAGAAAGCUAUGGAUCCUGAUAAGUUAGCUGAGCUGUGGACCGUUGAUCCAAAACGAGCUAAAAGGAUUCUUGCAAAUCGGCAGUCUGCCGCUCGUUCAAAAGAGAGGAAAGCACGCUAUAUAUCUGAACUUGAGAGAAAGGUCCAGACACUUCAAACAGAAGCCACUACUCUAUCUGCACAACUCACACUAUUCCAGAGGGACACAACAGAUUUGUCUACUGAGAACACAGAGCUUAAACUUCGGUUACAGGCUAUGGAACAACAGGCUCAGUUACGUGAUGCUCUGAAUGAAGCACUAAAGAAGGAAGUAGAGAGGCUGAAGAUUGCAACUGGAGAAAUGAUGACACCCACAGAUACCUACAACUUAGGCAUGCAACAUAUUCCAUAUAGCCAAUUAUUUUACCAACACCAACCACAUCCUGGGCCAGGAGAUUCCCAGAACAUGCAAAUGCCACAAUUGCAUCCAUUUCAGCCUAACACAUCAGGUCCCCAUCAGCCUAUGCUAGCCACAUCCCAGUCACAUGCCUUCUCAGAUAUGUUGCAGCAGGAUCCCCUCGGCAGACUGCAGGGGCUUGAUAUCAAUAGCAGAGGUUCUCAUCUAGUGAAGUCUGAAGGCCCCUCAAUUUCUGCUAGUGAAAGCAGCAGCACAUUCUGAUAAAUGUUGCCAAUCGUCUGUCCACCGUGUUUGUUGAAUUGUUCAUAGACUGACCUUAUUGACAGCCGAAGCUUCCCCACUCCCCAAACAUCGAAUGUGAUUGCAAGAAUUAUGAAUGGCGCUGGCCUUUAACCCGCCCGUAAGGCCACGGUAAUAUUCAUUAGUUGGCAAUAUCACCAAUAUGUGGUGGUUUAAACUUUCUUUUGUUGUGUAUCAGGGCGUGCAGGUUCCCCAAAUAGUUCCAUCAAGUUAUUUACUUAUUUGUUUUUCCUGGGUUAAGUUCUGUGUCUACAUUGAAUGCAAUCUUGUUCAGAGACAGUUUUGUAUCAAUGAAAUUUGGAAAAGGAAGGGACCAUUUUGUGCAUUUGCCAAAUGAUGUGAAAUGCAGGACUGAUUAUUUGA